AUGCACUUGAAAGGGGAAGAGCUCCUUCCAAAUCAAUAGUCAAGGUUACAAGUUCAUCGAGGAACUUUGAAGCAGCGGGAGGAAGCAAGUGAAACAGGUCAAUUAUAGCUGCAACACUAUCUUCGGUUCUUCACCAGCCUUCCAUGACUUCUGACACUGUGCCAAUUUUUCGGGCUCCAGCCACCUCCUUAGAUGCUCUAAAAGUUUUCCGCCCAAGGUAACAUUGAACCAAUUGGAUAAUAGCUCAAGCAAGCGGGCAAGGCCUAGCAGAAGAGGCAUGCUGAGAUUUUUU
rnacentral:lncRNA from 1 species